rnacentral:rRNA from 1 species
UACGAAGGGGGCUAGCGUUGCUCGGAAUUACUGGGCGUAAAGGGCUCGUAGGCGGCCAACUAAGUCAGACGUGAAAUCCCUCGGCUUAACCGGGGGCCGGCCGUGGAAACUGUCGGGCUGGAGGCUGGGAGAGGGCAGCGGAAUUCCCGGUGUAGCGGUGAAAUGCGUAGAGAUCGGGAGGAACACCCGUGGCGAAGGCGGCUCUCUGGAACGCAACUGACGCUGAGACGCGAAAGCGUGGGGAGCAAACAGGG